rnacentral:rRNA from 1 species
AAUCAAGUGCCUUAAGGGUGUUCGGUGGAUGCCUUGGCGCUGAGAGGCGAUAAGGACGUGCUACGCUGCGAUAAGCCGUGGGGAGCUGCGAAGAAGCUUUGAUCCGCGGAUUUCCGAAUGGGGAAACCCACCUUCGAUAGCCGGAACUCCAAGACCUUGGUUUUGGGGUUCGAUUGGGAGACCGAGAGGCUUCAAGAUCAUGACGAUGCAAGUCGUCGAGGUUUUGGAUUUCCGGUUAUCAAGAGAAGGUAUGAGACUUCUGAAUCCAUAGGAGGUUUCAAGCGAACCCAGGGAACUGAAACAUCUAAGUACCUGGAGGAAAGGACAUCAACCGAGACUCCGCUAGUAGUGGCGAGCGAACGCGGACCAGGCCAGUCAUGAAUGUAAGCCAACCAGAACCUGUCAGGAAAGCAGGGCCUCAGAGGGUGAUAGCCCCGUAUGGGUAAUGCGAACAUUCAUGCUCGAGUACGGCGG